rnacentral:rRNA from 1 species
ACUAAGUUUCAACAACGGAUCUCUUGGCUCUCGCAUCGAUGAAGAACGCAGCGAAAUGCGAUAAGUAAUGUGAAUUGCAGAAUUCAGUGAAUCAUCGAAUCUUUGAACGCACCUUGCGCUCCUUGGUAUUCCUUGGAGCAUGCCUGUU